rnacentral:rRNA from 1 species
UACGUAGGCAGCAAGCGUUGUUCGGAGUUACUGGGCGUAAAGGGUGCGUAGGCGGCUCUGUAAGUAUGGUGUGAAAUCUCCCGGCUUAACUGGGAGGGUGCGCUAUAGACUGCGGGGCUCGAGUGUGGGAGAGGAAAGUGGAAUUCCUGGUGUAGCGGUGAAAUGCGUAGAUAUCAGGAGGAACACCGGUGGUGUAAACGGCUUUCUGGACCAUAGCUGACGCUGAGGCACGAAAGCGUGGGUAGCAAACAGG